ACACCUCCCAGUUUCAUUUUUCUUUCCUGGUCCAUGGAUAGGGCAUUGCCCUGUUUCUCUUCUCCACCCAGACGCCUCUCCUCCAUUCAUUAGGAAUCCCACCUGCUCCCUCUUCCUUUCCCAACCAAACCCUAACCCUCUCCCUCUACCCGCCGCCACCUCCUAUUUCCCGUCCCCCUCUCUCGCUGUGUGAGCAGAAAAGGUUCAGUUAAGUUCAGAGGGCACCAAAGAAAUCAGCGAGCUGCCGGUCCUUGGCCGUCGGCCACAAUCGUUUCCGUCCGCACAUGAUUCUGUGAUCCUCUCCGUCGCCAUCCUGCAGGUUGCAGCACCAUCCUCAACCUCAUCCCGACCGCGUCCUGGUGUACUCCCCGUCUUCUCCUUCCGCCCCUGCCAAGAUCGGCAUCAACAUCCCAACCUGCUCCUGCCGCCCGUCAAGUUCUUCCCUGUGCGCUGCUCGUUUUCAUCUACGACUGUCCUCCUCGUCGACAGUUUGUUUCUCUGUUCAGCUGAAGCCUUCUUCGCUGGUUCGCGUACGUCCGCUUUGUGCAAGCCUCUGCGUCUUGGAUAGUUCAAAACUCCAGGCGCCCAAUUCUUAUCAACAGCCUAAGGUUUCUCUGACUCAAUGACAGGUACGAGAUGACGACGUUAGCAAGGUUACCCUUCCGGCUUGGCCUGGGCAGGGUUAUGGACGCCACUGGUUAUCUUCAGGACUCUUAGUCCAAUUUGUAUCUUGUCCGUACUCGGACGUAUUCGAUCUUCUGUAUGAGUUGGAUCUUUGUAUUGUAUAUCUGUAUCUUGACUCGUUGCAGUCGUUGUUGUAAUAUAUGUUUCUUGUGGGCUCUAUUGUAAUCCUGUUGUAAUGUUA